AGGCUUAUGGUGAUAUUAUAUGUUAAUCUUAGCGGAUUUCGGUGAGAUUUUUAAUCGAGAAUCUUAUUGUUACACACAUUGAGGCCU